CCAUCCUUGGUCUAAAAUCUAGAUCAAGAGGUAUAGAUCUAUUCCUACACUUUGUUCUUUGCUUAAAUGUUUUGAUGCAUCAUAUAUAAACCUAUGAACCUUGAAGGGGAUUUGCAUGACUAUAACUUUGAUAUUAUUUGAUAACAUGCUUCCGUUGCUUUCGUAUAUAAAUUUUGAAUUGUAUAUGCAUGCUAGUCAUUAGAAAUCCCACAUGAAUCUCAUAGAUUUCCCUUCAAGUGGUAUCAGAGCCAAAGGUUUAUAUAUUAUGUGUCCUUUUGGAUUUUAUGCAUAUGGGUUUUUAAUUUUAUGUAUGACAUAUUAUUGCUUCAUUCAAAGUAUGUUUAGCUUUUGUUUUUCAAUGGUUGAAAAAUGUGAAUCAAUAGUUGAAAAGAUAUGUAUGCAAAAGUGUUUUGGAUGCAUGAAUGAAGAAUGAGUUUAGAACAAAAAUUUGAGGUUUUGAACCAAAGGGAGGGCACGGUUUUGGGGGUGGUUUUGGGUUGUGUUUGUGUUUUAUUGUAAACCACUCUCACAUCAUUUUAAAGCUAGAAAGAAGAGUUCUUGUCACUUUUGUUUUUGGGUUUGAAAAAUCAUCAAGAAUGUACAAAUCUUGAAAUUGUGUUCAUGGUUUUGUUCUUGGUGUUCAUGGUUUGAGUUUUGGUGAAAAUGGUUUUGUUUUGUUUUCAUGCAUUGUUUUGUGGUUUUGGAUGAUGUUCAUACCAUCCAUAGCCUUCCCAAAAAUUUAUUAAAACCUAGACUUGACUAGGUGAAUUUCCAUCACCCUUUUCACUAAAGUCCUUAAAGCAAAACCAAGUGACAAGCAAAAUUUAAUUUUUUCUACAUAAUGUUGAUUUUAUUGCUUUGUGUAAAAAACCUCCCAUCCCCAUUAAGUGGCCGGCCUCCCUAGUGGAUUUAUCCACUUGUGGGGCUAUUUUGUAAUCUUUGAAAAGUUGUUUUUACUUUUGAAGUAUUUACGGUUUUACCCCUAACUUUUCAUAUUUGCAUAAUAGGCCCCAUCCAUCUUAAAAAGUUAAAAUAUUUGAUUUUAAUUUUAUUGGUUGUUUAAACUCAUAAUAUUAUUAUGCCCAUAUGCACUAAAUCUAAAUGUUUAUGUUGCAUUCCAUUUCAUUAUUUAAUGUGAUUAAGUAGUUAGAAAAAUGGGUGACUAUGGACUUAUGCCUUAAACGAUAAUUGAGCUAUGAGAUAAGGCGCUAAAAUCAAAUUGUUUGAACCUUGGGAAUGUGUUUUAAUUACUGUUUUAAUUGGACCUUGUCACGUUUGACAUUAAUCUAUCUCUCCCUCUUAGUAUAUGUAAUUUGUAGGAAUUUGUACAAAUCGGUUUGUAAUUCUUAUUACUCCUUAAUCUCUUUUAGUUAGUUGAUUCCCUCUAGUACUAGACUAGAGUUUCUUUAACUAUUGGUAAGGAGACAUAACUAAAAGAGGGUUUUGACACGAGAUUAAAGAUUAAAUGGGUCCAAUGCCCUAAUUAGCAAUGAAUGAUUGUCUUUCAUUUCUAAUGGCUCAAUGAAAAUGUUUUAAUUGGAUUGAAAAGCACGUAAUUAAAUUGACACAACCUCCCUGAGUUUAUAUUCAACCAUGUUGGCUCGUUGUUGCAAUAACCUAAUAAGUCCAUGGUCAUCCAAGAGCCUAAGAUAACUAUAAAGUCCAAUUUCAAAGGAAUGCAAAAACCUUAAUAGUAGUAGUUACUUCCAAUAUUUGAAAAAUUCGUUUUUGAUAUUGAUUUGUUUUUCUUAAAACAAAUAGUGGGAGUAUCAUACGCUACUAAAUUAUAAAUGAAUACAAUUAGUAGUUAUAUAUAUCUCCAAUAUUUUGAAAAUUGUUUUGAUAUUGAUUUGUUUUAUGAAAACGAAUAAUGGGGAUAUCAUAUGCUACUAAUUUCAUCAACUUUGGACUAGUAGUUAUAAUAGGACAAUUUAUUUGAAUGUGAUUAAAUAAAUAAAAUUGAUGAGACCUUAAAAUCCCUCAACCAACAUACAAUAUUAAGUUGAAAGCGUAAGAGUGCUUUGAACACUUUUUCGUGGCCUUCCACCAUGGUAGGCUCCAAGCGUUUAUGACUUGUACACCGCCUUCACCCUAUCAUGGGGGAGUGCAAAGUGCAUGCUUAUACUCAGGAGGAGUUUAUUUAAAACAUUUGAUGAGGUUAAGGUAGGCAACGAGUGUGGCCAACAUCGUAUCAUCGUGAGGCAUUGUUUUCUAGAGGCCAAAAAGAUGGGUAAUCACAAGAGGUUGUUGUGAAUGGGUAAGUGUACCCUCUCAUUAUUAUUUUUUGCUAGCCGACAUCGUAUCAUCGUGAGGUGGGCUUGGUAAUAGUGAGCCUCCCAUAACCCGCUAGGAGCUUUCUUUGAAAUCUCCCGGAUUCCAUCUUGAGGGAUAUGGAAUUUGCCAAAAAUGGUGUGUGGUGUCAUUCGGUUUAAAGACCCGAAUCGUUUGACUUAAUCAACAAUCAAACUAAUUAUUUUAUUGUUUAUGUAUUUAGAUAUGGUUGGAAGCACACUCGCGAAAAUACUCGACAAACAUUGCCUAGAGAGGCACAAUUUCCCAUCAUGAUAUCGUAAUGUCAAGAUUCUCCUAACAUUUGAGAAGAUUGUUUACGUGCUAGACAAGGCUCCACUUCACAUACCUCUCGGCCCUGAGGCCACUGAGGAUGAACGUGCUAAGUAUGACAAGCACGUUGAGGAUGAUACACAAGCUAAGUGCUAUCUGUUGGCUUCCAUGAAUGAGGAGCUACAAAGACAGCACGAGGGCAUGGACAGUGCAUCUUCCAUCAUACUCCAUCUUACGGAGUUAUAUGGUGAAGGGACGUGCAACCGUCGCUUUAGCACUGUUUGUGAACUUGUGAAGACUAAGAUGGUCAAGGGGGCUCCAGUGCAUCAAUAUGUACUGAAGAUGAUAGGAUUCAUUGAACAAUUGGAGAACCUAGGUACUCCACUUGACGGGGAAUUGGCCCAGGACUUCAUAUUGGCUUCUCUUUCUGAUUCAUUCUUGCAGUUCGUAAUGAACUACAAUAUGAAUAAGAUAGAUAAUACUCUCUCUGAGUUACUAAACAUGUUAGUAACUGCCGAGAAGACUAUGAAGAAAGAGAACGUUGUAGGGACUGCUGCAGUAGCCUACAACAAGCCAUCCUCUUCCAAGGCCAAGCCGCAAGGCAAAGGCAAAGGGAAGGAGAAGAAGUCUCCCACUCCUAAGCCGCAAGGAUGAGUGAGGAAAAAGAAGGCAAAGGAGCCCAAUGGGACUUGCCACCACUGUGGAAAGGAGGGGCAUUGGAAGAGGAAUUGCAGGUUAUACCUUGCAACUCUUAAGGACAAGCCACAAGGUAUGGUUUAUGUUCUUAUCUUCAAUUCUAAUCGUUAGAUCUUCUAAAUAUUUAUAUUUGAUAUAAAGGGCUAAUCACUUGUAUAAUUGUAUAUAGGUGGUGGAGCCAAGUAGAAGAGGAACAAGCAAAGAGAAGUGUGGAGAAGGGUUCGGCCACCAUGUUUUUUGCUAACUACUUAGGAAGUUUGUUAGGCAUAAAAGAUAGUCUUUAAACUUUCUUAUUUUGUUAAGAACUUAAUGUGGCUUCAUAUGAUGGAAGAUCACUAUUAGUGCCUAAAUGUAUAAAGGUAUUUAUAUUAGUCUCUAAAUGUAUAGAGCUAAUACUUUUUGUAUUAAACAUUAUGAAUGUUUGAAUCAUCAUAUUAAUGUAAUGUGAUGAAUACUUUCUAAUAUAUUAUUUCCUUAAAGUAGUGUUAUGAAUUGAAUAUUGUCUUGUUGUAUCCUAGAUGAGAUACAAGAUUUAUAUCACUUAUUGUAAUGUGAUAACCAAACUUUAGACUUAUCAAUUAUGGAUAGAUCUCACAUGUAGGACAUAGAAGGAUACAAUGAAUCUUUAGAUUUGGUUCCAAUUGUCUACCUAUGAGUUCUAUAUGAAUUGACAAAGGUCUGGAAAAUCCUUUCUUGAAGAAAAGGAAGAUCACAUUAUAAUGAUAUAAGUAAUAAGAAAAACGUUUCUUAUAUGGUUAUCACUUAGAACACAAUAAUCAAGAUCACUCUUGAUUCAAUUAGUAGUUUUGAACAACUAAUUGGGCAUUCUUUAAAUUAUUUUAAAAUGUCAAUUGUGUUAGUGAUUAAACCAAGAAAGAAGUGUCUAAAUCUAUAAAAUGUUUAAAGACUUUAGUCACUUAUUAACGAGACAUUAACUUAGUGAAGAUUGAAACAAACGAGCUUGAAAGUUUUUAAAGCCACUACACAAUGUCUUCUACCCGUAUACUCCACGUUUAUACAUUUUGAAUGUAUGAAGUGAUUUCUCAUUAAAAUCAUGAGAAAUAGUGGGAGGUGUGAAAAUGGAUAUAAACUUGAAUACGAUUGGUUUAUAGUUGUCUAAAGAAUAAUAGUACUUGACUAUUAUUGAGAGUUUGUGACUUUAAUUGUUAAAGGACUCAAGCUCUUCAAACGUUAAAAUUCCAUGUUGUGUAACAUUCUAAAGAAUAGUCUAUUAAUGUUGGUUUCGUCAACCUGGCAUAAAAUGGUUAUAUGUUGGGAGUUGUCCAUCAUUCUCUUUUAUGAGAACAAGCUAAUAACAAAGCAUAUGGACAAGUUGAUGAAACAAAAGAGAAUAGUCUAUGAAUGUUGGUUUCGUCAACCUAGCAUAAAAUGGUUAUAUGUUGGGAGUUGUCCAUCAUUCUCUUUUAUGAGAACAAGCUAAUAACAAAGCAUUUGGACAAGUUGAUGAAACAAAAGGGAAUAGUUUUCAAAAUGAGUCACAACAUAUAGUUUAACAACAAGACAAUCCAAAUUCAACAUCUUAUGUAACUAUAACGCUCUAUGUAGUUUUGAUAAAGAAUUAUAUCAACCACAUAGAAGGAAUGGUUGAGUUUCUAUAUCCUUAGUAGGAGCCAUGCUUCCACUAAAGACUUGGAUAAUUCUUAUAUGACUACAUUAAAGGUCUUAGUAUGACUAAAACUUGUAGUAUGGUGUAUGACACCAUAUGAUUUAAAUGAAUAAACUUGAUAAAGCAAGUCACACAUUUCAAAAGGAAUUACUUGAGAAGGAAUUCUUUUGUAUGAUUCGUUUAAAUAACUUGUGUUAGCUAGAGUUGUUGAUAGUCUCAAAAUUGUUGAGACAUCAUCAAUAAGCUAAUGGAUCUCAAUGAUUGUCAAUGGAUCCAAGACAAGUUAGUGGGAGCAAUAUGCAUUCAAAUCAAGAAAAUAUAAGUGUUAAGAUUUUUUGAAUGAAUGCUAAGUUACAACAAGGCCAGUGGGAGUGAUGUCAUAGUUUUGAGCAACAAGAUAUGAAUAAAGUCUAUUUGAUAGACUUGAUAAAACAUAUAUGUUACUCGAAAAUUGGCAAAACAUGACAUAGUCAAUUUUGAAGUAUAGACUUGAAAUUAGACUUAUUGAUAUAGCAAGGCUAUUUCAAGGAUAUUAAAUAGGGAAAUUAAAUCUCAAAUGUUGAAGAUUUAAGAAAGCAUUUUCCUAUAUGAUAGAAAAUCACUUUCGUAUCCCUUAUAAUGAAUGUGUCACAAAAUCACAAAAGGGACACAUGUAUGGACUUGUGAAGUAGAUAUCCAAAAGUGAAGAACCACAGGGGUUGUCAUUUUAAGAUAUUACUAUAUCCCAGGAUCAGAACCAAAGCAACUGAUAAAGUAUUAUUGCCUUUAAGAAAGAAACAUCAGAGUGAAAAUAAACCAUUUUAACAAAUGGAACUUCAUAUUGGAUGAAGUACUAAUCAUAUGAAUGAAUUGUUAGUAUUGUACUACAAUGGUCUCAAGGUUGGAGCAAAGUUUGUAUAAAGUAUACAAACGAAAUAUAUGACGAUAUAUUGUUUUAGAAACUGCUUCAAAAGGUGUUUUGAAUGAAGGGGUUCUUAUAGAACCAAUGAUUGAAUCCAAACCAUAAGGUCGUUAGUAGGAUACUACGACGUAAUGGGGCGAUAGCUCAAGCCAUGGAAUCAAGGUCUCAUCAAAGUAUUCGAACACAAUAAAGAGACAUCAUCAAAUGUUUUGGAAACAUUUGAUAAGUAAAUCCCUUUUAAAUAAAAAGGGGAUUAAUACAUAACCAAGUUAACCUAAGAGAAUAAGCUCUCUCAACUAGCAUGUAUAAGAUACACUAGUGAUUGGCUUUAGUGCAAGUGGGAGAUUGUUGGAAAUAUACCCUGAAAGUCAAUCUUUGGAAGAAACCUUUCAGGACAAACGAAUGGAUGUAUAGAUGACUCUUAUACAUCAAAUGGCAAAGAUACUAAUUAGGACUAUCUCAAUGAACGAUAUAUGUCCUAAAUAGUGAAUCCAUGGACAAUGGAUCGGUUGAAGAAGUAAUCUAAUGAUGUUAGACUACAGAGACCUUUUUCACAUGAUCAUCAUGUCCAAAAGGUUCCUGGUCAUAGGAUUGUCGGAGGGAAACUGACAAUGCAUAGACCGGUACAUACUAUGUCCGCUUCAAUUGGAAGGAUGGAAAGUCUCAUCCCAUUCGUGUAGUGACACUAAGACAAGUAUGUAGGUGCUCAUUAAGGGAAUGAGUUCACUGAACAAAAUCGAAUGAGAGUACUUGCAUGGAGGUCUACUCGCAUGUCAAGCAAGUAACUCUUAUGGUUGGAAUAAUGUAAGUAGUCCUUUGACCUGAGGCAUCGUCGUUGUCUUGUAGUUAAGUACUUGAUCUUUGAUUAUGUCAAAGUCACCCCAUUCGCGGGUGUCCACGACAUAGUUGGGGUUAAGCCACUUAGUCAUGAAGGCAAGUGAAUGCGCAACAAGGAAUCUCUAAUCUUCGUUAAGAGAAGAAGAAUACUCUAAGAUAUGAUUCUGGAAUCUUCGGCCGAAGUAUCGAGCGUAAUAAAGGAAAGCGUUCCUAUACGACUCAAUUGAAUCAUAUAAGAAGGAGUAAUCACAUUAGGGGUUUGACAUAAUAUAUCCAUACCCCAAUGAUGUGAUUGAGAGUAUUGUUUUAGAGAAGGAUCGAAUUACAUUGUAAUUCCAACUGAAUAGGUUCUCCGAACAAAUUCUACAUUAGCUUGGAUAGCCAUGAUAUAUGGUUAGAUGUCACUCAUGGCUUGUGAGUUCUUCUAGAUGAUUAAAUGUAGUAGUCAAAGAAGAAGGUGAAUUAAAAGGAAGUUUUAAUUCACUAAGUAAUUGGAUUAAAUAUAAUCAAUUGGAUUGGUGCCAAUCACCUCACUGCCUUGCUAAUUAGAACCUAAAAUGAUUGUACACCGAUACACUCUUGUAGUGAUACCACUAAUGGAUGAUGGGAAUAAUUAAUUGGAUUAAUUAAGUGUUGUGAUUAAUUAGAAAGUCUAAUGAAAUCAUAAAAGCGAUAUAAGAUCGUUUUGUGCUUAAAGAAACGUUCGGGUUUAAUUGUGCCCAUUGGGCCUAGACCCAUUGGGCUUUUAUUCAAGCAUAGGAUGACUUGAAAUAAUAAAAGCCCAAAGCCCAAACCAAACACUAAAGGCCGGCCACUUAAAGGGAAAGGGAGAGAGUGAAAGUCAAGUUGUUGACUAGGUUUCUUUUUGUCUAUAUAAGGAACUUUAUAGAGAUAUUUUUACUUAGGGUUUUUGUGUGUUAAAACAACAAAAGAGAAAAAAAAAAGAAAAAAAAAUAUCUCUCUCUUGAACACCCAAAGGCCGGCCACCAUUAGGGAGUGUGAGCUAAUCAUCUUAUCUCCCUUUUGGUCAUUCAUCCAUCCAUCUCACUACACUAGUGGGUGUGGAUCUUUAGAGGUCUUCUACUUUGGAGACUAAAGGAGAACCAAAGGAGCACUCAUACUAACAAAGUGGAGGAGGCAAGGAGGGAGGCUAGGCUCAAGGAGUUCAAGGAACAAAAGGCUUGGAGGUGGUCCAUCCUUGGUCUAAAAUCUAGAUCAAGAGGUAUAGAUCUAUUCCUACACUUUGUUCUUUACUUAAAUGUUUUGAUGCAUCAUAUAUAAACCUAUGAACCUUGAAGGGGUUUGCAUGACUAUAGCUUUAAUAUUAUUUGAUAACAUGCUUUCGUUGCUUUCGUAUAUAAAUUUUGAAUUGUAUAUGCAUGCUAGUCAUUAGAAAUCCCACAUGAAUCU
rnacentral:lncRNA from 1 species